GGCGCUGAGCCUUUUACAUCCGGGGAGCGUCGAGGUUAUUUUUGAAUUUUGGGUGCCGUGCUUUAGGCGCUACGUUAGUUGGGUCAGAGGUUUUCGGCGUAGUUAAAAUGCAGGACAUCCUAGACUGCUGUCGCAGUGGUAAGCCGAGAUCGGCUUUGAGAUCCUGCAGGUUCACUAGCGUGGGCGGACUCGGACGUUGUUUCCGUCGCUCGGCGGCCACGUGCAGCCCUGGGCCUGGAGCUCCAGGCUGACGCGUGUAAGCCAAGGGCCCUCGGGUGAAGGAUCAAGGCUCCAGGUGGCGGGCGCGCAGAUCAUUAGUGCUGCCGUCGGUGACGUGUGGACAUCUUGAAUCUCCUCCCCGUCGUUAAGUCAGCAGCACCCCAAAACCUGCCACAGAUUUAUCCACAGGGAUGCUGGACUAAUUCACGACGGAAGAGAGGAAACAAGAUGCCAAGAAAUCCCAAGUGAGAGUGGAGAGUGAAGUCUUCUUGUUCAGCAUCUUGCAGUGGAUCACCAGAUUUGAUUUUAAAUCUUAACUGCAGGCUCUUGGAUGUUAGUGAUGUUCCAAGAAAUACCAGGGCAGUACUUUCAAAAGGCCGAAAUAUUUUUAAGUGAGAAGAACAAGGAAUGUAAGGAGAAAAUAAAAUAAGUGCUUCUUUGUUAUAGUUUUAAUAAAAUGCUUGAUUUAUCUGGAUAACCAGUGUUGUUUAACUGCAUAAUUAAACAGUUGAAGAUAGAGUUAAACAUACCUCUGUCUGGGUAACAGCACAUGUGGAAGUAACAUGAGUGAGAUAGAAUAUUUUCCAGUGCCUUGGAAAACUGUCUUAAAUAUGAAAAUAACCAGGCUACCCCCAAAGGAAAAGAUAGAGGCUCUCAUUUAGUUGCUACAACACAAAAUAUUAAGAUGAUUGGGCAAGGCGAAAAGUUAUUUGAACAAUUUUGUACACUUUUGUUUUUUAAAAGGUCACACUAAAAAAUUUAGCUAUCCUAAAGGCAUUUUUACUGAACCAUGUAUUCUUAGGGCUUCAGCAAACUUUCUACCUGUUUUCUUAGGAUACCAUGUAUAUUGUCAAUCGUUGCUCUUUCCAGACAGAAUUGCUUUUCAUAAGAAGGUUGCCAGCCCGUGGUCUACUUUAAACUUAAAUAUAAGCAUCGAUUGCACCCAGCACUAGUUUGGAAGUGCAGCCUGUGAGAAUGUUUCACCAAAGAUAUUCUUACCAUUACAUGUUUUUCCCGAGUCCUUGUGAACUGUACAUCAUAUGUAGUGGCUCUCCUAUCCGUAGAUGUGAAUACUGCUUAAAAAGUUAUUUAUCAAAAUCACACUUACAGAAAAACUUUAAUUCUGUUGUCACAGAUGGCAUUGCAAUUCUGCCAAGGAGUAAUACAAAGCACCUUUAGUACCAGUCUACAUUAAAAGGGGUGCACAGUUUGACGCUGAAGGGAAACCAUGUUUUAAGAUCACAGUAAGGGUAGCUUACACUUAAGAGGAUUGUUUACAGCCACUAUGUUUGCUGCUAGGGAUGACCCUUUGUCCUUUUGGGAGAUAACAUUUCCGUUUGCAAAAGUGGAAUUUGAGUUAGCACCUUCCACAGUAGCCAUGUAUUGUUAAUAGCAUUGUUCUGGAGUUUAGAUUUAAAGCCUUUGAACAGCUGUGUCUCCUUGGCCUGUUUUCUCCAUUUGUAAAUUAAGGUUAAUGAGAUGAGAUUUUAAAAAUAUGCCUAGACGGGGCUGUAUUGUGAAUGUCUUAGGAAACAGUUAUUAAGUCAGUUACCAGAAAUUUGCAGUAGGUGGCACUCAUCCAUCGUGGUCCAAAAAACAGCAUGAUGCUAAGGAAGUUACAUUUUGUAAUUCUAUUUACUAAGUUAAAAAUUUGCGGUGCUGACCUGAAAAGUAUAAUUAGUACUUCCCUCCCUCUCAAAGAUUCCGGAGUUUUAACAGUUUCCUUCGACAGUGUGCCAAAAGCAGUGGUGAUUUUAUAUUGUCAAAACUUGCGGGGAAAAAAAUCUACAACAGUAAAAUUUCUCUUGUCCUGGCCAGUCAGAAUUCUAAAUUAGGAUAGUUAACUUGUUGCAAAUUGGAUUUGAGAGAAACUGACCUGAAAAUAUUUUAGGAAAGGGAUAUCGAAAACUUGACUGAUAGGCAAAAUUCACAAUGCAGAAAUAUUUGCCUAAAUUCUAUCUUAAUUUAAAUAAUCUUUAAUGGAAAAUUACAAAUUAGGUUGAACACCUAACAACUACUUGAAGCAUCCUUUAUUAGAAAUUGAUAACUUCCAAAUUUUGCUAGUAGCUUAUAAUAUGAAAGUUGCUACAAUAUAUUUUUCUCUUAUGGUUUCCAUAGUGAUUGGUGAAUACAUGGAUACUUGUUUCCACAUAUCAGAUCACUUCCUUCAGGAAUGUACUGUGAUGGGCAGGUGUCCUUGUGGCUCAGUGAUCCUCUUAAUUCCAGUCUAAGUGUAUAACGGAAUUUCUUUACACUUUUGGCCCUUAGUUUACUCAUUUGACAAAGUAUGAAGAUUUCUUCGAGCUUUUUGGAAAGAUCAGAGCUUAAAACAUUACAUAAAUUGAAAAUAAUGCCAUUCUUUGAGUGCAGUAAAGGGUAUUUCAUCAUGACAGAUGGGGUCUCUUGUUAAUCCAUACACAUACUUAUUGAAUUAUAUGAAGUUAAGAAUUCCAAACAAGUACAAAAACCUUAAUGCAAAAUCAAAAUACACGAAUUUCUCUAGAAUUUAGUCCAUGUAGUGAAGCUAAUUUGAGUAGGCAACUGCUAAUUAUAAUAUUACACUGAGGUAUCUGUAACAAGUAAGGUACACAUCACAACUUCUCAAAAGGAGCAAGUGGUACACAAGCCUGAAAUCUGUCAACAGUUUUUAUCACAACACAAAGCAGAAACAUGGAUCUCAGUCCCCACUGGUUGUCAUCUCUGGCUCAGUGCUAAUCAGGGAGAUGAUUGAGAAAUUUUCCAGUAUAUUUCAAUAUUUUUUCUUGAGGUUUCUAUGAACAAUUACAGUUUGGUGACAGUUUUUAUCCAAGGUACAAAAGCUGAGACUUUUGUAUAAACACCAGGAGAAUCCCUGGCUCCACAGCCAUAACCCCAGGAGGUCACCCCGAAAACAACCCAGCUCUCUCCAGGCCGUUCGCACAUGAGUGGUCCUCCGCUGUCUCCUUGGCAGCUGUCCACCCGUUUGUGUUCCUGGAGGUUUCCAGCACACAGCAUCCUCCCUGUAAACCGACCCUUGUAACGUUCUUCACAGUACCUCUUGGGAAGCAGUGGGAUGGCUGCUUGUUGAAGAGUUCUUGAAUAGGCUCGUCCUACUCAGACCAAAUAUCUGAAUUAGUCAAUGAGAUUCCAGUCAACAAUCCUACUAAGAAGAGUUACAUUUAGCAGUUAUAAUGAAUAUUUAACUUUUUUUUUUUUUUUUUGGGAGCAGGGGGAAAUCCCUUUUGUGGCAUUUGUUUCCUUUAAAAUGAGUGAUAAUUAGGACAGUGUUUUUAACUGGCCUUUUGAAUCUUGGCACUUAACACGAGCCCAUCACUAAUCUUUCUCAGUACUAAAUUUUUGUGAAUGAGUAACUUUCAGCGUUUAUGGACUAGGCUAUAGAGAAAGUUAAGUCUAAGUGGAGCACAUUUGUUAAUAUUUGAAUUCUGUCAGAAAACUGUAACACUAGUUUUACAUUAGCACAUUCAUUCCCUUAAGAGUCAUCUCCUUCACUGUUUUGAGGAUUAAUAAGCACGUAAAACGGCAAUAACUGUCCUGAACAGAAACAUGGUAAUAGAUUCAAAAAACAUUGCACAUAGCUUUUCUAUGUAAAAACAGGCAAGUUUCACUAGCUGAUGUUAAAAUAUUCUAUUUGCUGGUAAGCCAUUCUUUGUUCAUUAUUCCUUGUUUAGAGGCUAAAGUGCAUAAUUGAUAUGUCUUCCCAUGGUAUCGUUUUCUUGGAUAUAGAGUCUGGCAUUAUUCUCUGAUCCUGUUUACUCAGCUAGGGAAACUCUGGUGGUAUAGUGGUUGAGAGCUAUGGCUGCUAACCAAAAGGUCAGCAGUUCGAAUCCACCAGAUGAUCCUUGGAAACCAUAUGGGGCAGUCCUACUCUGCCCUGUGGGGUCACUACAAGUCGGAAUCAACUUGACGGCAAUGGGUUUGGAGUAACUAGUUCACAGUGAAACACAUUGUGUUAAAUUUACUUCCUUGAUCAUGUCUAGUCCCAUGUGGUGUACAAAGGUGACUGAUUCUUGCCUUAAAAAGUAAUCAUAAUUCUCUCAUUAUACUUAAUCCUUCUCAGAGACUUGAUAUGCCUCAUGGAUCAACAUCGUAUACUGAAAAGGCCCUUACUUUGACCAGAUUUUAUCAUUAUGAUACCCAAUAAAUGUUUCUUUUUUUGGGUCUUUGUGUGUGUGCGUGGCUUCUCUCAGGUUUGGUCCCAGUGCUUUUUCAAUAUUCUAAAUCUGCUACAGAUGUUCUAAAUUUUACUACUAUGAAGUCCAGAUUUAGUGUAACAUGGGAUAAAAUGGUGCCCUGGUGGCACAGUAGUUAAGAGCUUAGCUGUUAACCAAAAGGUCAGCAGUUCAGAUCCACGAGUUGCUCCCUGGAAAACCACUGGGGCAGUUCUACCCUGUUCUAUAGGGUCACUAUGAGUUGGAAUUGA